UACAGAGGGUGCGAGCGUUAAUCGGAAUUACUGGGCGUAAAGCGCGCGUAGGCGGCUUUGCAAGUCGGGUGUGAAAUUUCGGAGCUUAACUCCGAAACUGCAUUUGAUACUGGCGUGCUUGAGGACUGGAGAGGAGACUGGAAUUCACGGUGUAGCAGUGAAAUGCGUAGAGAUCGUGAGGAAGACCAGUGGCGAAGGCGGGUCUCUGGACAGUUCCUGACACUGAGGCACGAAGGCCAGGGGAGCAAACGGG
rnacentral:rRNA from 1 species